rnacentral:misc_RNA from 1 species
GCUUUUGGUUGCUUGCUUGCAUUUGUGCUAUGUGGGUGGCUACUAGUCGGGUGGUUUCGGAAAAUGUUUACCGUAAAGGUGCAUGAGUGGUGUUUGGUUUGUUACGGGUGGUUGGAUGUCUUCUAGUGAAGCAACUUCCAUGCGUGCUUACCUCUUCAUUUACGUAGCAAGGCUUAUUUUAGUGUUGCUCGUAUUGUGGGUUUACUGUGUUGCGUACCUAAUCGAAGGCAUUGUAUGGACCGAAUGAAUAUGUAUCCGUCAUGCAUCGCACAAGUGGUGCAUGAUGGACCGGUAAGUGGUCUCAGUAAUCCAUCUUGUCGUUGUGUACACAUCGGCGAUGUGGCUUGCUGAGUUUCGCUUGGUGUCUUGGAUAUGGAACCUAAUGUGGGCAUGGGUCUUAAAUGAUCUUUUUAUGUCCUUGUUUAGCGUUCUCGCUUCUCUAAAACGAUCACUCGUCGCGUGUUGGCUAGUCCAUGCRUGGCGGGUUGCGUCGAAGAGGAAUGCUACC